rnacentral:rRNA from 1 species
GAUGAACGCUGGCGGCGUGCCUAAUACAUGCCAGUCGAGCGAACGGACGAGAAGCUUGCUUCUCUGAUGUUAGCGGCGGACGGGUGAGUAACACGUGGAUAACCUACCUAUAAGACUGGGAUAACUUCGGGAAACCGGAGCUAAUACCGGAUGAUAUUUUGAACCGCAUGGUUCAAAAGUGAAAGACGGUCUUGCUGUCACUUAUAGAUGGAUCCGAGCUGCAUUAGCUAGUUGGUAAGGUAACGGCUUACCAAGGCAACGAUGCAUAGCCGACCUGAGAGGGUGAUCGGCCACACUGGAACUGAGACACGGUCCAGACUCCUACGGGAGGCAGCAGUAGGGAAUCUUCCGCAAUGGGCGAAAGCCUGACGGAGCAACGCCGCGUGAGUGAUGAAGGUCUUCGGAUCGUAAAACUCUGUUAUUAGGGAAGAACAUAUGUGUAAGUAACUGUGCACAUCUUGACGGUACCUAAUCAGAAAGCCACGGCUAACUACGUG